GCCCAAUCACAUUUCUAAUUUGUACCCCUAUUCCUUGUUUUCGUGUGUAAUCCUCCCCCUAAUUUGGGACAACUCGUCAUGAACCUGUUCGCAACCCUACCAGGCUGAUGUCAUAGCAGUGGUGCACUAAAGUUCAACAACCUACCUACAUUUUGAGAGUGGGACUGGUUGUUUAUUUUUUGAACUCUUACUAAGAAAAAUGUGCUUAGCCCACUGGCAGAUUUUUUAAGCUUAAUAUACGCAUAUACAUUUAUAACAUUAACAUCAACCAGUGGAAACAUUUAUAAACAGACUUUCUAUCUCUAGACACAGUGUCAGAACUCAUCAGAAACACAGAUAUCUUAGUAUGGACACAUCUAAAUCACAAAUAAAAAACGUAAAUAAAUAGGUAAGUAUUAGUAGCUAACUUUGCACAUUCUUUACUCUUUAUCCAGACUCUGGUCACUUGAUUUCCAAAUGUAAUGAUGAUCAGUGAUGGUUGGUGAAUCAUGUUAUCUGCUGGUGUUGAUCCACUGUGUUAUAUCAAGUCCAAAAUAAGUGCAGGGUUUUUCUGGAAAAUCUUACAGCACUUCAUGCUUGCCUCUGCUGAUAACGAUUAUGGAGAUGAGGAUUUCAUUUUCCAGCAGGACUUGGCACACUGCCCACACUGCCAAAAGUACCAAUUGGGCUUAUAUAUUAUUAUAAUUUUCAUUUGAGUUAUGUAUUGAACUGAAUCACUGAAAUAAAGUAACUUUUUAAUCAUAUUUAACAUUUUUUGAAACGCACUAUUGUAUAUUGUCUCGUUUUAAGUCAAUUUUUUUGUAUUGAGGGCAGCUCCUGAUUGGUUAGUGGAUCAGGCGGAGGUUAGGGGGUAUAAUUGGUCAGGUCUGCUCAGUCAUUACCGCCACUGAUUGUUUCGGCUUUAAAAGAAGCUCAGGAGAAUCUGCCGUAGUUUCUGUCAUUAUGAAAGCCCCGCGUCCUCAGGUGAAGAAGUCCGCCGCGCUGAGCAGAGGGAAGGCCCGGCUCCGCGCUCAUGCUGCGCUCAUUUACCGGUUCCGGAGAGAGACCCAGAGUACUGACGCCGCGGUGGUGCAGCGGACGCUCCGCGGCCCGACCCCGUUCCUGCUGCGGAGAGUGAGCCAGGAGGCCGCCCGCCUCUCCGCCCUCAACCGCCGGCCUGUGAUCACCCAGCGGGAGGUGGUGGCCGCGCUGGAGCAGCUGAGGCGCAGGCGCAGUGCGACGCUUAUGGCCGGGGCAUGACCUGAGGAGGGGUGGGGGACGCUUUUAAAACCAAUUUCUAAUAUGUAAAUAUUUAAUUGUAUUAAAAUAAAC
rnacentral:lncRNA from 1 species